rnacentral:rRNA from 1 species
GACGAACGCUGGCGGCGUGCUUAACACAUGCAAGUCGAACGGUAAGGCCCUUCGGGGUACACGAGUGGCGAACGGGUGAGUAACACGUGGGUGAUCUGCCCUGCACUUCGGGAUAAGCCUGGGAAACUGGGUCUAAUACCGGAUAGGACCAUGGACUUCACGGUUUGUGGUGGAAAGCUUUUGCGGUGUGGGAUGGGCCCGCGGCCUAUCAGCUUGUUGGUGGGGUAAUGGCCUACCAAGGCGACGACGGGUAGCCGGCCUGAGAGGGUGUCCGGCCACACUGGGACUGAGAUACGGCCCAGACUCCUACGGGAGGCAGCAGUGGGGAAUAUUGCACAAUGGGCGCAAGCCUGAUGCAGCGACGCCGCGUGAGGGAUGACGGCCUCGGUUGUAAACCUCUUCAUAGGACGAAGCGCAAGUGACGGUACCUAUAGAAGAAGCACCGGCCAACUACGUGCCAGCAGCCGCGGUAAGU